GCGAACGAUAACGAGUGAACACAACUUCUAGAUGGAGAAAGGUUCGUAAAAAUCAGACAUUUCAACUACAAAGUUGCACUUAAAGGGAGUAGAAAGAUUCAAACGAGAACUUCAAUCAAGCAGGGGUCAAUAAACCCGGAUCAGACGAAUAUACGAAAUUAAAAUCGAAUGUUUAAAUUGAACCUAAACAAUAUGAAAUAAAAUUACGAAGAUAAAUUUGGAACUUCUAAAAUUGAAAUGUGAUCUACAAUUUAUGCAGCGGAGGAAUAUUUUAACACAAAUGAUUUCGCAAAGGAUUCAUACUACUAAUUACAGGCGGACGUAAAGGUGUACGGUGGAUGCAGUCUAUAAAAUAUUGAGGAUAUGGCAUAACGGAACUUCUGGGAAACUAUGGUGCUUACGACAUAUUUGGGAAUUUUUUCCAAAGCCAUUGAUAACUAAAGGUGUGAAAGUUUUUAUUUUAAUUGUCAAUAUAUGUGCAAUUUAUAAUCGCAAUGUGUAAAUUUGAAAUAUAUCAAUAAAAUAAAACAAAGGAUUGUUAUGAGAAUGAA